UACGUAGGGGCCAAGCGUUGUCCGGAUUUACUGGGCGUAAAGAGCGUGUAGGCGGCCAAGCAGGUCCGUUGUGAAAACUGGAGGCUUAACCUCCAGACGUCGACGGAAACCGCGUGGCUAGAGUCCGGAAGAGGAGAGUGGAAUUCCUGGUGUAGCGGUGAAAUGCGCAGAUAUCAGGAAGAACACCAAUGGCGAAGGCAGCUCUCUGGGACGGUACUGACGCUGAGACGCGAAAGCGUGGGGAGCGAACAGG
rnacentral:rRNA from 1 species